AUUCUUUUGCGUAUUCAUGGUCAUGUGUAAGAUGUGCCUCCCUCCAACCUUGUUACCAUGUGGAUGUCAGCACUUUACCCAUUUGAUG
ensembl:snoRNA